rnacentral:rRNA from 1 species
AGCGAACGCUGGCGGCAGGCUUAACACAUGCAAGUCGAGCGGGCAUCCUUGUGGUGUCAGCGGCAGACGGGUGAGUAACGCGUGGGAACGUGCCCUUCGGUUCGGAAUAACUCAGGGAAACUUGAGCUAAUACCGGAUACGCCCUUUUGGGGAAAGGUUUACUGCCGAAGGAUCGGCCCGCGUCUGAUUAGCUAGUUGGUGAGGUUAUGGCUCACCAAGGCGAUGAUCAGUAGCUGGUCUGAGAGGAUGAUCAGCCACACUGGGACUGAGACACGGCCCAGACUCCUACGGGAGGCAGCAGUGGGGAAUAUUGGACAAUGGGGGCAACCCUGAUCCAGCCAUGCCGCGUGAGUGAUGACGGCCUUAGGGUUGUAAAGCUCUUUUCUCCGGGACGAUAAUGACGGUACCGGAGGAAUAAGCCCCGGCUAACUUCGUG